AGUCUCGCCCACCAGCUGACGUGAAUACUGGGAGGAGCGACGCUGACCCCAAACCACCGCCGAGGGACAUCGGCGGGGUCUCAGGUAAGUGACCUGAAGGGGUUUUCACCCCUUCAGCUACCUGGGAUGGAAGGUGGGAGGGAGAGGGUACCUGCAGUGCCAGGAAAACAGAUUGUUUUCCUGGCACUGGAGUUUCCCUUUAAUUGCAGAGCUAGGAAAGCUUUAAAUGUUUGUGUAAAACAUCCAUGUUACUGAU